CAGCAGUCGCCGCGGUAAAACGGAGGGUGCAAGCGUUAAUCGGAAUUACUGGGCGUAAAGCGCACGCAGGCGGUCUGACAAGUCAGAUGUGAAAACCCCGGGCUUAACCUGGGAACUGCAUUUGAAACUGUCAGGCUGGAGUCUUGUAGAGGGGGGUGGAAUUCCAGGUGUAGCGGUGAAAUGCGUAGAGAUCUGGAGGAAUACCGGUGGCGAAGGCGGCCCCCUGGACAAAGACUGACGCUCAGGUGCGAAAGCGUGGGGAGCAAACAGGAUUAGAUACCCGAGUAGUCCCUGUCUCUUAUAC
rnacentral:rRNA from 1 species